UGGGGAAUUUUGGACAAUGGGCGAAAGCCUGAUCCAGCAAUGCCGCGUGCAGGAUGAAGGCCUUCGGGUUGUAAACUGCUUUUGUAUGGAACGAAAAAGCUUCCCCUAAUACGAGAGGCCCAUGACGGUACCGUAAGAAUAAGCACCGGCUAACUACGUGCCAGCAGCCGCGGUAAUACGUAGGGUGCGAGCGUUAAUCGGAAUUACUGGGCGUAAAGCGUGCGCAGGCGGUUAUGUAAGACAGAUGUGAAAUCCCCGGGCUCAACCUGGGAACUGCAUUUGUGAAUGCAUGGCUAGAGUACGGUAGAGGGGGAUGGAAUUCCGAGUGUAGCAGUGGAAUGCGUAGAUAUGCGGAAGAACACCGAUGGCGAAGGCAAUCCCCUGGACAUGUACUGACGCUCAUGCACGGAAGCGUGGGGAACAAACA
rnacentral:rRNA from 1 species